UUUAAUUAAAUUUGUAAAACUCUCUGGAACGAGGGGUUUCAUGUCUCCUUCUUCUUGCAGCUACUGUGGCAAAACCUCAUUUAUCCGCGACGAUGAAUCUGGUGCGUUGAUAUGUUCUUCUUGCGGUUGCAUUCAGCAAUUCGACCAAUUUGAAGCCCAAAUCGGCGGCAUCGAUGGUCCCCAGGGUACUUUCAUCCAUGUGGGCACCGCCGGUUCCGGCAGCGUAUAUUCUUAUAGAGAGAGGAAACACUUUAGCGCAAAAAGCACCAUCGAGGAAGUAACCUACAGUCUAGGGUUAUCUUCCAAGAACAGCGACGUUAGGAGCAUGGUGUACACCAUAACCGAUGGUGAGUUUGGCCAGGGUGAGUGGUUCCGCGUGCUCGUCGGCGCGUGCGCGUAUGUUGUGAUGCGGAGGGAGGACCGACCCUUGCCCAUGGCGGAGAUUGCCUCCACGGUGGGGUGCGACAUCUAUGAAAUCGGUAAGAUGAUUCAGCGUGUUGUUGAUUUUUUGGAUCUGAGACCUGAUUUUCCGGAGUUUGACAUUGUGCAUUCGUUGGAAAGAACAAUAAAAAAUUCGAGUGUUUUUUCCUCUGUUGAGAGCGGUGUGAUUGAGAAGAUGCGGAAACAGGGGGUGUUUUUGAUUCAAUGUGCGGUGAAGUGGUUUUUGAGCACCGGUCGCCGGCCCCUUCCGCUGGUGGUGGCGGUCUUGGUGUUUGUGGCGGAGUUGAAUGGGGUCGUGGUGGUGAUGGAGGAAUUGGCUAAGGAAGUUCAUGCUACGGUUUCAACUUGUAGGCUAAGAUAUAAGGAGUUGCUUCAGACGCUUGUGAAGGCUGCGCAGGUGUUGCCUUGGGGUAAGGAUGUUACUGUUAAAAACAUUGUUAAGAAUGCGCCUUUGGUGAUUCGGUAUAUGGAGAGGAAGGUUAUGUUGAAUCCUGGGGAGACUCAGGAGAAGAGGAAGGGUCUUGAUCGAGCUGCGGUGGACUUGGAGGAUGUGGUUGCUGAAUGCUUGAGACAUGACAAUGAAUUUGAAUACGGCGUUGAUGGCGUGACUUCGCGUAAGGAUUUACAGUAUUUUUCGUUGGAGAGUAAAAGUGUUGAGGAUGCUGACAGAAUGCAGAUUUCCACUGAAUGCUUGUCUGUGAUGUAUAAGAAGUUUUUAGAUCAAAAUCGUUGUGCUGAGCCAUUGCGAGGGAGCGGGAAUGCUCGGAAAAGGAUUAUUUUUCAAUUUGAUAUUCUGGAGUGUAGGGAGUGGUGGGAUGGAAAAUCUGAAUUGAGCAAGAAGCUUAUGCUUAAGGAACUAAUGGAGAAGGAUGUUGGUGUGGAUACAAUGCCGCCAUCAUUUGUCAACGGUCAAUUGAAAUGUAAAAUGAGGAAGGAGAAAAUCAAUGCUGCUAAGUUGCGGAUAAAACGAAUUAUGCAUCCAGUAGAUGCUAAUCUAGGUGAUGUUUCUGUCCCUUUAGAUAGCUCUUGUCCUGAAAGAAGGAGGAAGAGAAAAGGAAUGGUAGUGGACGAUGUUGAUUGGGAAGACCUUAUUAUUGAGACCCUUGUUCUUCAUCAAGUAAAAGAUGAAGAAAUUGAGAAGGGGCAUUACAAUACCUUACUGGAUCUACAUGUGUUCAACUCUGGCAUUGUAUGAGAGGGUUUGGGAAGAUUUGUUUUUAAGCUGGUCUGUUUAUCAGUGGCUGUGACCGUAAAUGCCUGUGGUUCCCACGAAUUUGGAAUGAUUGUCCGAAACUGUAGCUACAUAUAUCUAUAUAAGGAAAAAGAAGGAUUCACAUGGAGGCAAAUGGUAUUCUCUCUUCUCGACCUCCUUUAUGCUCUAUUAAAAUUUUGUUUUACUUGUUGAACUGGUUGUCCUUGCUGCAUCCAUUGUGAGCAAAUAUGGAAAGAUUUCAUCACUCUCGUUCUCGUUCUCUGGUUGUCUUCCUCUGGUUCUCGUGCUCUGGUCGUCCUCUCGGAAUCGUGGUCUCGUUCUCAGGCAUUGUCGUCAUUCUCGCGGUCUUGGAAUCAUGGUCUCUUUCUCGUGUUCUCGAAAUCGUGGUGUCGUUCUCAAUUCUUAGGCUUUAUCGGUGCUUGGGUAUUGUGGUUUUGUUCUUAUAUUUGGGGUCCAAUGGCAUCAAGAAAACAAAGUGUAAGAUGAUAUCAUAAUAUAAGUUCACAUUAAUGGAUGUCACUGUAAUAUUAACCACCCAAUAUCGGUGUGAACCACAUUAGACAUCCACAAUUUAAGUUCAAGUUAUGUUGUUUUUAUAUUUCAUCAAAAGUGUUUUUAUGCUUUCUUCGAAUGAAUGAAUGUGGGUGAACUAUUGAAAA